rnacentral:rRNA from 1 species
UACGAAGGGUGCAAACGUUGCUCGGAAUUAUUGGGCGUAAAGCGCACGUAGGCGGCUUGGCAAGUCGGAUGUGAAAUCCCUCGGCUCAACCAAGGAAGUGCAUCCGAAACUGCCGAGCUUGAGUACUUAAGAGGAUCGCGGAAUUCCCGGUGUAGAGGUGAAAUUCGUAGAUAUCGGGAGGAACACCAGUGGCGAAGGCGGCGAUCUGGGAAGAUACUGACGCUGAGGCACGAAAGCCAGGGGAGCAAACGGG